rnacentral:lncRNA from 1 species
UCUGUGUAACUGGUUUUGGUUUGCUCUUCCAAAAUGAGGCCAAAGGGCAGUGUCUGGCCUGAAUAAGAGCUGUUUGAUUGAGAAGACGUGCCCUUACUCUCAGAUCGAUUAUGAAUAAUAAGAAUUCAUGAACCUUACGAAAUCUGACAUACCAAUAAUUGGCACAUUUGACGCGAAAUUUUCAAUUGGCAUUUAUCCGUUUCAGAUCCGUUCAUCAUCCGUUUUAUCUGUUAUACGCCCGGUAGAAGUCCGUUUAUCAUUCGUUCAACAUCCGUUUUAUCCGUUAAACGUCCGGUAGAAGUCAGUUGGUGAAUUUAUCUGCCAGACCUCCAACGGAUGUAUAACGGACACGUAACGGAUACAAAACGGAUACGAAACGGACGCCUACCGGACGUUCAACGGACAUUUCAUCCGUUGGACGUCCGUUCAAAGUUUUGAACAUGCUCAAAAUUUUCCACCGGACAGAACGGACGUCGACGGAUAAAACGUACGCUGAACGGACAU